CACAUUACGGUGUCCUGCAUUUUCCUAGUACUUUUCCUUCACACACUCACUAAAAUGUUCUGUGAGACACUUCUAUGGUUAUGUGGGCAGUGGAUGCUCCAUGAGAACCAUGUCCACAGUGGGGCCCAUCCUGUCUCCAGCACCUGAGAGCCAGUUAACAUGUCUCGACAAGAAGAAGAAAGCGAGGAGGAUGAAGGCAGGAUGAUGAUGUUUGAACUUGGACCACUGUGGUCCUUGGGACUCUGUCCUUCCAAAGGUCUUCCAAUCUACUGCCCCGUGCAUUUGAGGAAACAGAAGCUCAGAGGAGAGGGGUCAACCUGCCACAACCCUUCAGCUGCUCAGUGGAAAAUCCAAGUCCAGCUCACUAAUCUCUCACCAAAAGAAAAGCAGGAUGGAAGAGAACACACGCUUCACAUAGAAAUACCUAAAUGUCAAGUAGAUGCCAAGAUCUCUAGUAGGUUUAGGAAUCACCAUGACAAUCUUUUAAAGACUGGCUUUGUUGUUAUUAUUAAUUACAAUUUCUGGAUGAGAAUUAUUAAAAUCAAGCAUGAACUUUCCAGGAUUCAAACCCGUUUAUUUUAUGCCAAAGCCAAUGGGGCUACCUUAGUACCCU
rnacentral:lncRNA from 1 species